rnacentral:rRNA from 1 species
GACGAACGCUGGCGGCGUGCUUAACACAUGCAAGUCGAACGGAAAGGCCCUGCUUUUGUGGGGUGCUCGAGUGGCGAACGGGUGAGUAACACGUGAGUAACCUGCCCUUGACUUUGGGAUAACUUCAGGAAACUGGGGCUAAUACCGGAUAGGAGCUCCUGCUGCAUGGUGGGGGUUGGAAAGUUUCGGCGGUUGGGGAUGGACUCGCGGCUUAUCAGCUUGUUGGUGGGGUAGUGGCUUACCAAGGCUUUGACGGGUAGCCGGCCUGAGAGGGUGACCGGCCACAUUGGGACUGAGGUACGGGCCCGACUCCUACGGGGGGCAAGCGGGGGGAAUAUUGCACAAUGGGGCGAAGCCUGAUGCAGCAACGCCGCGUGCGGGAUGACGGCCUUCGGGUUGUAAACCGCUUUCGCCUGUGACGAAGCGUGAGUGACGGUAAUGGGUAAAGAAGCACCGGCUAACUACGUG